UUGGAUUCCCUGGGACCAGAAUUAUAGCCAGUUGUGAGCCACCAUAUUGAUGCUGGAAUCUGGACCUGCGAACUGUCCUGGGUCCUCUGGAAGUGUCUCCAGUGCUCUUAACAGCUGAGCCAAGCCUUCAGCUCCUAAUCCAAUAAUUCUAAAGCAGGCACUAGGCAGCCAUUGGAUGUUUUUGAGGAGUGAGAGCUGGUUCUUCGGUCCUGAUGAUGCUCCUCAGGGAAGGUAGCCAGGAGCUGAAGGUUUGAGAAGGGAGUUCCACCCAGGGACUGACUUGUACGGAGAGGUCAUUUGCUCACAGGAGAAGUCAGAAACGGUCAGUGACUAGAAUGGAGGUCUACACUGAGUGUGGCAGAUGGUGCCUGCUUGUGAUCCCGCCACCCCACAAGUGAGAACAGGAAGUUCAAGGUCACUCGUCCUUCUCUCCAUCGAAUGUUUGAACAAAACAGUCCAUAGGAAUCUGGGCUUAUAGGACUUCUCCAGUGAGCAGAAGGGCAGGGCUU